CGACCGGCGCACGGGUGAGUAACGCGUAUCCAACCUGCCCACCACUUGGGAUAACCUUGCGAAGUAAGACUAAUACCCAAUGAUAUCUCUAGAAGACAUCUGAAAGAGAUUAAAGAUUUAUCGGUGAUGGAUGGGGAUGCGUCUGAUUAGCUUGUUGGCGGGUAACGGCCCACCAAGGCAACGAUCAGUAGGGGUUCUGAGAGGAAGGUCCCCCACAUUGGAACUGAGACACGGUCCAA
rnacentral:rRNA from 1 species